rnacentral:rRNA from 1 species
UACAGAGGGGGCAAGCGUUGUUCGGAAUUACUGGGCGUAAAGGGCGCGUAGGCGGCCCGCUAAGUCGAACGUGAAAUCCCCGGGCUCAACCCGGGAACUGCGUCCGAUACUGAUGGGCUCGAAUCCGGGAGAGGGAUGCGGAAUUCCAGGUGUAGCGGUGAAAUUCGUAGAUAUUCGGAGGAACACCAGAAGCGAAGGCGGCCAACUGGCCCGAUACUGACGCUGAGGCGCGAAAGCGUGGGGAGCAAACAGG